rnacentral:rRNA from 1 species
GAUGAACGCUGGCGGCGUGCCUAAUACAUGCAAGUCGAGCGAACGGACGAGAAGCUUGCUUCUCUGAUGUUAGCGGCGGACGGGUGAGUAACACGUGGAUAACCUACCUAUAAGACUGGGAUAACUUCGGGAAACCGGAGCUAAUACCGGAUGAUAUUUUGAACCGCAUGGUUCAAAAGUGAAAGACGGUCUUGCUGUCACUUAUAGAUGGAUCCGCGCUGCAUUAGCUAGUUGGUAAGGUAACGGCUUACCAAGGCAACGAUGCAUAGCCGACCUGAGAGGGUGAUCGGCCACACUGGAACUGAACCACGGUCCAGACUCCUACGGGAGGCAGCAGGAGGGAAUCUUCCGCAAUGGGCGAAAGCCUGACGGAGCAACGCCGCGGGAGUGAUGAAGGUCUUCGGAUCGUAAAACUCUGUUAUUAGGGAAGAACAUAUGUGUAAGUAACUGUGCAAAUCUUGACGGUACCAAAUCAGAAAGCCACGGCUAACUACGU